ACCAACAGUAAUUACGAAGAAUCAUUAAGUUGAAGAGAUUCUUCUGAGUCGGAUUCAGAGCUAUCUUCAAUUGGGUUUCCCGUAGCAUCUGUAAGAUGAAUGGUUUCUAUUUGAGGAGAUUCUGCGUUUGCGUCUAAUGUAUCAUUCACUUCUUCGAGGUCCUCCACAUCAUCAAUAUUUUGCUCAACUUCAUUUUGUGCUAUAUCCUCCGCAAUUCGUUCUUCUUCUAAUUCGUCUUUUUCUUCAUCUAGAGGAGUAGUGUCAUGCGCGUCUAUUUUGGCUUUCUUUCUGUUAUCAACAUCUGAUACGUU